rnacentral:snoRNA from 1 species
UUUUGAUAUGAUGAAUUAGACAUGUCUAUUACAGUUAUCCCUGUCCGAGAUGUUACACCCAUGUGGAUAGUGUUCUAAUUUCUGAUCUCAA